rnacentral:rRNA from 1 species
GAUGAACGCUGGCGGCGUGCCUAAUACAUGCAAGUCGAGCGAACAGACGAGGAGCUUGCUCCUCUGACGUUAGCGGCGGACGGGUGAGUAACACGUGGAUAACCUACCUAUAAGACUGGGAUAACUUCGGGAAAACCGGAGCUAAAUACCGGAUAAUAUAUUGAACCGCAUGGUUCAAUAGUGAAAAGACGGUUUUGCUGUCACUUAUAGAUGGAUCCGCGCCGCAUUAGCUAGUUGGUAAGGUAACGGCUUACCAAGGCAACGAUGCGUAGCCGACCUGAGAGGGUGAUCGGCCACACUGGAACUGAGACACGGUCCAGACUCCUACGGGAGGCAGCAGUAGGGAAUCUUCCGCAAUGGGCGAAAGCCUGACGGAGCAACGCCGCGUGAGUGAUGAAAGGUCUUCGGAUCGUAAAACUCUG